rnacentral:rRNA from 1 species
AGUGAACGCUGGCGGUAGGCCUAACACAUGCAAGUCGAACGGCAGCACAGUAAGAGCUUGCUCUUAUGGGUGGCGAGUGGCGGACGGGUGAGGAAUACAUCGGAAUCUACUUCUUCGUGGGGGAUAACGUAGGGAAACUUACGCUAAUACCGCAUACGACCUACGGGUGAAAGCAGGGGAUCUUCGGACCUUGCGCGAUU